rnacentral:misc_RNA from 1 species
UCUGUUCACGCUUGUGCACCCGCGUGGUAUCUGGUUCUUUGUACUUUGGGUUACCAGUCGAAAAUCAGGAUUGGUUUACCGUACGAAGAGGGUGUGUCGACGCAACGAUUUCACGCGAAAACUUAUGCUACCUGAAGAACUCGUCCGUGGUGCUCCAAAUGACGAUGCAAUACAACCAUAAGUCGUGCCUAAUGGUCUAUUAAGAAUACGUUGAACGAGUACGCACCGAGUUAAUUUAAUUCGAUAUACUGGAUCAACAUGGUUAGACGGAAAAAGCUAAUUAAGAGUUAAUCCUAGAGUUGCUUGAUUUUAUUGCGAUUUUAAAAUAAUGAGCAUACAAGCAUUUUGUAGGUGAAGAGUAGAUGGAAU